UACAGAGGGGGCAAGCGUUGUUCGGAAUUACUGGGCGUAAAGGGCGCGUAGGCGGCCCGCUAAGUCGAACGUGAAAUCCCCGAGCUCAACCUGGGAACUGCAUUUGUGACUGCACGGCUGGAGUGCGGCAGAGGGGGAUGGAAUUCCGCGUGUAGCAGUGAAAUGCGUAGAUAUGCGGAGGAACACCGAUGGCGAAGGCAAUCCCCUGGACCUGUACUGACGCUCAUGCACGAAAGCGUGGGGAGCAAACAGG
rnacentral:rRNA from 1 species